rnacentral:rRNA from 1 species
AUUGAACGCUGGCGGCAGGCCUAACACAUGCAAGUCGAACGAGUGGCGGACGGGUGAGUAAUGUCUGGGAAACUGCCUGAUGGAGGGGGCUAACUACUGGAACCGGUAGCUACUACCGCAUACCAUCGGAUGUGCCCUGAUGGGAUUAGCUAGUAGGUGGGGUAACGGCUCACCUAGGCGACGAUCCCUAGCUGGUCUGAGAGGAUGACCAGCCACACUGGGACUGAGACACGGCCCAGACUCCUACGGGAGGCAGCAGUGGGGAAUAUUGCGCAAUGGGCGCAAGCCUGAUGCAGCCAUGCCGCGUGUAUGAAGAAGGCCUUCGGGUUGUAAAGUACUUUUAGCGGGGAGGCGGUACCCGAAGAAGAAGCACCGGCUAACUCCGUGCCAGCAGCCGCGGUAAUAC